GCUGGAGCCGGGGGUCGUAGGCAAGCUGGUGCCCGGUUCUGCUGGCGAACUGGCGUUCCCCCCGGUGCCAGGCGGCAGUGUGCGUGUGCACAGUGCCCUCCUCCCCUGCCCUCUGGAAGCUUUGUCACAGACAUGCUUCAUUUGUCGUGAACACUCCCCGGGGACAUCUCCAACAGGCGCCGAGCUGCCACCGAGCUGCCUUUGGGCGCAGUCUGGGAGCCUUCUUCUGACGUAUUUACCUUCCUGCCCACCUACAGCUCUGCCAAAAUCUCUCUGGGCUUUUGUCUGUUUAGUGAGAGCAGAGGAUGCUGAUGGUCUAGUCUGCUGAGCCAAGAAGAGCACCCGAACUGCAGCACCAAGGUUGCCUGAGCGCUGCCACUCAGCACAGCCAGGCCUUCGACGACUGCUCACCUGAAAUCAGGGCUCCCUGGGUCCUCCUGCACACAGGACUGAUAAUGGAUGCAGCUGCACUGAUUGUGCUUCAACUCAAGCAUAUGCUGCAGCAGCCAGAAAGAAGGCAGAGGAAUCAUAGGCCAAACAGAGAUAUCAUGAGAUCUGUAAAGGACAGAGAGAGAGGAUAGUUACUCUGACCAUAAUGACUGCUCAGGCUCUGAUGCUGCAGCCUCAGUCUUUACCCAUGUCCAGCUGAUGAACAUUGCCAAGACAAUGCGAUGCUGAGGUGAAGGCUCUCUGCUUUAAUGUGGCCUGGUUUGGCUCUUACUAUGUUGGUUUCACUAAAGAAAGGUUCUUACCCAGUCUGAUGUCAGUCCAUUGUGGGCAUAGCUCUAUGUGUCUGGUGUCAUUUCUUUGACCCAGUGUCCUUCAGUGCUGUGACUGCUUGCUGGCUUGGGUGCCCACCUGUAUGCCUCCCACCGUGGGAAUUCUGAAAAGUCCAACUCUGCACUGUGCAGGGUUCCUGCCCUCUGAAACAUACCUGGUUCACUCAUGCUUUGGUACACCGAGUCAAGAGUCUCUUUGGGCAGAGCCUGUACUUCCUCCUGGAACCUCCUGUGUCCUUCUGGAGUCAGCUUCCAGAGGCAGGACUUGCGUCUUCCCUGGCCGCACACAGAGGCAGUGAUUCUCUCGAAGCAGCUGCUGAAGCACAGCUUGUGCCGGAUUGUGUUUUUCCAGCCCUUUGGGGCAGUUUGAAAAAAGGGGAAGUGCUGCCUGUGGAGAGAAGAGAUUUUUCCUGAGCUGAAGCACUUAGAGGCUGUGAUGAAUUAGAGAAUACAUCACAUUGGACCAAGGGAAGGAGAUGGUCCUCCCUGCCCCAAGGAUGGAUGUUUUUUCCUGAGGAGUGUGAGAGAAAACUGAAAUGCUGGUUCUCAGGAAUAUCAGAUUUGGGAGUUGAAAAAGAGGGGAAGUUUUCUCAGUGGCAUCUUGAGCCAAAGGCAGAGCUAUGACCUGAACGUGGGUCCUGGCUGCCGCAUCUCCACCUCCCAGCAGACAACCACAGACUUGCGUCCCCUCAUUAUCCCUCUCCCCCUCAUUCUGCACUAGGAGCAGGGAGAAGAGCAGGUACCGUGCAAACUGGUAGAUCUGCUGUACAGUCAGACUGCCACUUGUGCUGUUGCACAGGGCAAGGGAGAUGAGGAUGGAGUAAUUUAGGGGAGGACGGGGCCAGCCUCCCUUGAUUUUGGUACUCUGAGGUCUGAGGACUGCAGGUUUCCAAGGCAUCAGCAUUGCCUUGAGUUCAGGAAUUUCCGGCAUCUCCUGAGGAGCUGAGAUGUCCAUGCAUGAAAUAUCUUUGUCCUUGGUAAGCUGGGGAGAGGAAGGAGAAAAAGGACAUGUAUAUAUUAGCCCUGGGUGGAAAUGAGGGACAGGCAUAAGCUGCUUUGUUCUGGGGGAGAGUGGGUCUGGCAGCGUGCAUAUAGCAAGCUUCUACAUGUCAAACUGCAGCCUCUGUCUUUGCACUUUGUACUCUCAGCCUGUUCAUCAGGCAGGCUCCGUGCGCUGCCUGAGCCCUGCUGAAACGGGAGGCAGCCUCUUGUGGAGCUGCUGAGCCAGCUCGUUCCUUCUGGCAGGAUGGCUGGGCACAUAGGAUGCCUGGGCCUGCCUCAGCAGCUUCUCUUUUACCUUGCCAGCCUCGCUGCAGGAUGACAGCACCUCCUCCUCAGAGCAGCCCAGGUCGGUGUAGUCCCAGCACGUGUUCAGAGAAGAGGUUUCUGUGGCACCAGUAAUCGAGGCCACCAAGCUGUCGGAUCUGGCUGGGUCUACUCCAGGGCUCCUGGGGAUGGGGCAGACCAGGCUGGGGUUUACCCAUAUCCACAGGUGGGGUUGAACGCUGGGUUCUAAGGAGAAAGAGAAACAUCACCCCAGCAGUCUGACCUGAGGACCAUUUCCAGGUCCUGCUGUCCAGAGGCAGUCUGGGGAAGCUCUAAUGCAAUGCAAAUUCCAAGGUGAAGGUCCCCAUUUACCUUCUCAUGCCCCUAAGCAACAUUUUAUUUCCUGUUUUGUAUACAGUGUGCACAGCUGCAGGUCCCUGCACUGCUGCUGCCAGCCUGGACAAUGGGACUCAGCUCUGAAGUUUCACUUUCUCUUGCUCCUACAAAGCCUGGUCUAGUGAGGAUGUCCCUGCUGACUGCAGGGGGACCAGACUGGAUAACCUCUGGAGCUCCCAUCUGGCCCAGACCAUUCUAUGAUUCUAUAAGUCACUCCCUUCAGUCCUCCUUUCCCAACUUCCUCUACCCCAAAGCCUGCAUUCAGAGGAAAGUGCAUGUGCAGGCACAGCUGUGCAAUGACAUCCCUGUCCCUGGCAGUCAGGCUUUAACUUCUUCUAAAUAAGCUCAGAAAAAUUCCAUUCUGCACACAGAUGUUCUGGCUGGCAAAAGAAAAGCCUAUUUCCCAAGCUGUUCCCUGAAACAACACCACCAGCCCCUGUAGGGAAUGCCAAGUCCUAACCUUACCCCUGGCAUAGGCCAUUGUCCAUGGCACCAAGAACUCAUGUGCCAUGGGGUCAGCAUGCCACUUCAGCACACAAUGCCAUGGGAUCUCCUCAGGAGCUCAUAGACAUGGGGAUCCUGGAGACACUGUGACAAGCUCAUAGACAUGUGGAUCCUGGAGACACUGACAAGCUCAUAGACAUGUGGAUCCUGGAGACACUGUGACAAGCUUAUGGUUUUGCAUUAGCCUAAUUUUCUGCAAGUUGCACUUUCUGCAGCCACUUCUAAUUGGAGCUGAUCAUAUUUAAACAUGCAUACAAUUGUUCAUCUCUAAGACUGGAACUUACUAUUUAGCAGACCUCACUAUUUUCACAUGAGAUGGGAAUCUUUUUACAAGGAAACCAAGUCAAUCAAUAUCCCAGAGCCUCUUACCUUGCAGAACAUCUUCAGUAG